rnacentral:rRNA from 1 species
CUACGGGGUGCUCCAGUGGGGAAUAUUGGACAAUGGGCGCAAGCCUGAUCCAGCAAUGCCGCGUGUGUGAAGAAGGCCUUCGGGUUGUAAAGCACUUUUGUUAGGGAGGAAAGUCUGGUAGCUAAUAACUGCUAGAUCUGACGUUACCUAAAGAAUCAGCACCGGCUAACUCUGUGCCAGCAGCCGCGGUAAUACAGAGGGUGCAAGCGUUAAUCGGAAUUACUGGGCGUAAAGGGUCUGUAGGCGGAUUAUUAAGUCGGAUGUGAAAUCCCCGGGCUCAACCUGGGAACGGCAUUCGAUACUGGUAGUCUAGAGUGUGCAAGAGGAUGGGGGAAUUCCUGGUGUAGCAGUGAAAUGCGUAGAGAUCAGGAGGAACAUCAAUGGCGAAGGCACCUUUCUGGGGCAACACUGACGCUGAGAGACGAAAGCGUGGGGAGCAAACAGGGUUAGAUACCCUCGUAGUC